UCCACACUUCUUCUUCCUGUGUUGUUCCACAAAACUCGUCAAGUUUUCUCAGUUUCUCCCAAUUCAAAAAUGUCAAUCCUAACCCACCAAACCCUCUCCCUCUCUUUCUCCAAAUUCCUAACCGCCCCGACAACCCCACUCUUCCUCCACCAACCCUCCCUCCUCCCCCUCAAACCCUCCACCCUCAUCCGCAUGGGCGGCGGCCCCCGCACCUUCCCCGGCGGCGUCUCCAAGUGGCAGUGGAAGCGCAUGCAGGCCAAGAAAGCCAAGCAGCUCCUCAAGGCCCGCCUCACCCGCGAGCGCCAAAUCUACGAGAUGCGCAAGCGCGCCGAGCUCAAAGCCGCCGUCUCCGACCUCGAGCGCCCCUGGGAGCCCGUCGAGAAGCCCCCCAACUUGUUCUCCGUCUCCGCCGACGAGCAGGUCAAGGUCCUUGCCGAUCGGUUCCAGCGCCCCGGCGGCUUUGACUUGUGGACCGAGAGGGACGGGCCGGAGCUCUUUCGCACCACCACGGAGGACUUGCCGUCGGCUAGAUUCUUCCCCAAGGGAGUUGUGCAUAGUGUGAAACCCUAUAAGAGAAUUGAGGAAGAUGAUGAUGAGGGAGCUGGUGGAUGGGCUUAGGGGCUCAAAUGGGCCGGGUUUGAAUUCGAGAAGUUUGUCGGAGUUAAUGAGGUUGAAUGGUCAGAAUGGGAGAAUGUAUAAUGGUAAAUUGAGGAGGAAGGGAAAUGCCGAAGUUUCGAGUGAUGUUGAUAGGAAACAGAUAGGUCAGGGUAAUGUAGUGAGGGGUGGCGAAAAUCGGCAUUAUAGGAGAAAUGGUGGUUCAGAGUCUGAAGGGAGUGAAAGGAGAGAGUAGGCAGGGUAGGAGAAUUGGUGGGAUGAAAUCGAAUGGUUUGGAGUCUCAAGUAUUUGAUAUGAGGUUGAGAGAAGAUGGGAGUUAUGAGUUUCAAUAGUUUAGUGAUGCAGUAUGAACUAUGGAAAUGCUUAGUGGACGAUCCUGAGGACUCAAACUGACAAUGGAGGACUCAAACAGUAAGGAAAAGGAAAAAGUAUAUAUACUGAUAAGGCCUCGAGUUGAAGUAGGUGAAAUGCAGAUCAAGGUAAUAACUUGAAGACGAUGAUACAGCUCUUUUUUUGUUUUUUCGUUUUUUUUUUCUGUUGAGAAAGUAUAAUACAGCUCAGUUG